rnacentral:rRNA from 1 species
AUUACUGGGCGUAAAGCGUGCGCAGGCGGUUUUGUAAGACAGGCGUGAAAUCCCCGGGCUCAACCUGGGAACUGCGCUUGUGACUGCAAGGCUAGAGUACGGCAGAGGGGGGUGGAAUUCCACGUGUAGCAGUGAAAUGCGUAGAGAUGUGGAGGAACACCAAUGGCGAAGGCAGCCCCCUGGGUCGAUACUGACGCUCAUGCACGAAAGCGUGGGUAGCAAACAGGAUUAGAUACCCUGGUAGUCCACGCCCUAAACGAUGUCAACUAGGUGUUGGGAGGGUAAAACCUUUUAGUACCGGAGCUAACGCGUGAAGUUGACCGCCUGGGGAGUACGGCCGCAAGGUUAAAACUCAAAGGAAUUGACGGGGACCCGCACAAGCGGUGGAUGAUGUGGAUUAAUUCGAUGCAACGCGAAAAACCUUACCUACCCUUGACAUGUCAGGAAGUCUUGAGAGAUUGAGAUGUGCCCGAAAGGGAACCUGAACACAGGUGCUGCAUGGCUGUCGUCAGCUCGUGUCGUGAGAUGUUGGGUUAAGUCCCGCAACGAGCGCAACCCUUGUCGUUAAUUGCCAUCAUUUAGUUGGGCACUUUAGCGAGACUGCCGGUGACAAACCGGAGGAAGGUGGGGAUGACGUCAAGUCCUCAUGGCCCUUAUGGGUAGGGCUUCACACGUCAUACAAUGGUCGGUACAAAGGGUCGCCAACCCGCGAGGGGGAGCCAAUCCCAGAAAGCCGAUCGUAGUCCGGAUUGCAGGCUGCAACUCGCCUGCAUGAAGUCGGAAUCGCUAGUAAUCGUGGAUCAGCAUGUCACGGUGAAUACGUUCCCGGGUCUUGUACACACCGCCCGUCACACCAUGGGAGCGGGUUCCGCCAGAAGUAGGUAGCCUAACCGCAAGGAGGGCGCUUACCACGGCGGGGUUCGUGACUGGGGUGAAGUCGUAACAAGGUAACC